rnacentral:rRNA from 1 species
GAUGAACGCUGGCGGCGUGCCUAAUACAUGCAAGUCGAGCGAACAGAUAAGGAGCUUGCUCCUUUGACGUUAGCGGCGGACGGGUGAGUAACACGUGGGUAACCUACCUAUAAGACUGGAAUAACUCCGGGAAACCGGGGCUAAUGCCGGAUAACAUUUAGAACCGCAUGGUUCUAAAGUGAAAGAUGGUUUUGCUAUCACUUAUAGAUGGACCCGCGCCGUAUUAGCUAGUUGGUAAGGUAACGGCUUACCAAGGCAACGAUACGUAGCCGACCUGAGAGGGUGAUCGGCCACACUGGAACUGAGACACGGACCAGACUCCUACGGGAGGCAGCAGUAGGGAAUCUUCCGCAAUGGGCGAAAGCCUGACGGAGCAACGCCGCGUGAGUGAUGAAGGUCUUCGGAUCGUAAAACUCUGUUAUUAGGGAAGAACAAAUGUGUAAGUAACUGUGCACGUCUUGACGGUACCUAAUCAGAAAGCCACGGCUAACUACGUG